ensembl:lncRNA
ACUGUCCAUAAAAGUGGACCAUUUUUGUCUCAAGAAACGGCCAAUAUUCCAUAAUGGAACUUUUUUUUUUAAAUAAUUUUUUAUUUCACCUUUAUUUAACCAGGUAGGCAAGUUGAGAACAAGUUCUCAUUUACAAUUGCGACCUGGCCAAGAUAAAGCAAAGCAGUUCGACAGAUACAACGACACAGAGUUACACAUGGAGUAAAACAAACAUACAGUCAAUAAUACAGUAUAAACAAGUCUAUAUACGAUGUGAGCAAAUGAGGUGAGAAGGGAGGUAAAGGCAAAAAAGGCCAUGGUGGCAAAGUAAAUACAAUAUAGCAAGUAAAACACUGGAAUGGUAGUUUUGCAAUGGAAGAAUGUGCAAAAGUAUAAAUAAAAAUAAUGGGGUGCAAAGGAGCAAAAUAAAUAAAUACAGUAGGGAAAGAGGUAGUUGUUUGGGCUAAAUUAUAGGUGGGCUAUGUACAGGUGCAGUAAUCUGUGAGCUGCUCUGACAGUUGGUGCUUAAAGCUAAUGAGCCAUGGUUUGUGUAUAAUGUAAGGUAAAUUGACGCAAUAGGCCACUAAUGUUGAAUUACCCAUAUUGUGAUACAUACUACAUGUUGUAUGUUUGAGAUUACAUUUUAAAUGGGCGCCAUCUAGUGUAUACAACGAAUGCAUCUAUAGGAAAUAAUUUAUAGUAAAAUUGUAUUAUCGGGAGAACUAGGCGGAGCACGAAUGCACAUUUCUAUUUUGCACAUUGCCCUAUCAAUUCCGAUCAUAUAAAACAGCUGAACCAAAUAUCAAAUCAAUAGCAGACAAAGCGCCACUGGAACGGAGUCGGGUCAGCCUUGUUGAAUUGUUUGGGCUAAAAUAUAAUUCAAACCUAAAAUGGAUCCUUGUGAUUGCUCAAAAACUGGACGCUGCAGUUGCGGUGGACUCUGCAAGUGUACAAACUGCGAAUGUGCCAAGAAAAGUAAGGGCAUGUGUUGAUCUUUGAGCUCGGAACAAGAAUUGUUACACCCGCAAUAACUUCUGCUAAAUAUGUGUAUGUGAUCUAUAAAGUGGAAUCUGUCGAAGCAAAGCGACGCUAACGGAUGGAGCUAGAUUAACGUAUACUUAGACUGCGCUAUUGGAUGUAAGGACUGACUAUCCAUUUUAUAGUUGUAGCUUCAGUGUUUAUUUUCUAUCUUGUAAGCAUUUUAUAUUGUGUUCUGAUGGAAUAGGCAUACGACAGCUAAACUAAGCGCAUUAUGCAUUUUAAGUUAAAUUCUUAAAGAGUCAAUGGGUACAUGUCGAACUUAUUUUUGAUUUAUUUUAUUUAACCAGGUAGGCAAGUUGAGAACAAGUUCUCAUUUACAAUUGCGGCCUGGAAAUGUCAAAAUGGCUGUAACCAGUGCAGAUUGCUUUAUUUUUUUACUUUACAGUUUAGUUGUGAACAAUUGUUAGCCACAUCUUCGACAGACUGAACAUCCCAAACCAAUGAGAGGAUUCGAUCAAAUUGGAAUCGGGUAGGCGUGCGUUAUACCUGGCUCACUCCAGGUGCCCGGAAAAAGCCCGCUCAGUGACGUAAUUAUGCGCGUGGAAUAAUGAGUAGGAUUGCCUUCACGUGCAAUACUAAUUUC